GAUUUUUUUAAUAUUUAUUAUUCAGUAUUGAUUCAAUUGGUAGCUAGUGAUAUAGGUAUUUUUAUUUAAUAAAUUAGUAUUAAAAAUGGCUAUACUUAAUCCGUUUGUGAUCAUGUCUGUGAUAUCAUUUAUGAGUGUAGCUGCUAUCGUAUUGUUUAUAGUGACAUGCGUUAAAUCAAAGAAAAAAUUGAGACAUGUUGAGGACGGAGACAUUGAAGAAACUCGGGAUUCAACUUUUAAAUUACCUGCUGAAAAUAUACCAAGUAUUACUGAAGAUAUACCUGUUCCAACUGUAAAAACAUCUGCCUGAAGAAAGCACCUGUUCCUGUGGAUGCAAUGACUGACACACGCCAUAAAUCUGAAAUGAACGUGGGUUAGAGUUCGAUGCAACGCGAGCAAUAGACUUCAAACCUAUUUUGUUAAUAAAAGUAAAU